ensembl:lncRNA
AUCUACUGGAUGAAGGUCACUUUCUGAGAAGGAGUGCUCUAUGACUAGAGGUCCUAUUGCCAGUCAGGCUUAAAAUACUGUGACAGAUCAAAAAAUGGUAGCAGGAAACUAGCUCCAUCAACAAAUAUGAGAAAACCUUCAUCAAUGUAGUCUCCAGGAUUUCCUGAAUGGAAGAUGCUACCUUUGUGUUUAAUAGUCCUGGAUGGAUUUGUCUUUCAAGAAUACAUCAAACAUCUUUUAAAAUCUAGUUGAAUCUUCAACAUUCACAGUAUCCUGACUUCAUUUUCUUAACUGUGCAUUGGUUUUCCUUUGCUGCGCUUUUCUUUCUGUUUUAGGAUUCUGCUACAGUCUUUUAGUUAGAGAAUCCAAGACUGUAAUCAAUACUUGAGUGACUCUUCCCACAUUCAUGUAGCGAUAUAAUGAUGUUUUCUGUGUAUGUGAGUUUUUUCAUUUUUUUCUCCUUUAUUCCUUUCUGAAGGCUGUAGAUUCAUUGGGAGUAUCAUACUAGUUGGUGGUGUGACUGGAUGGGAUAAAAACAGGCCUACAGAACGUAGGAGGAUAUAGAGAGCUACCUGUUGAGAAGAACAUGAAAGUAGUGAAUAAUUCAGAGACUGUGCUUUUCAUCUUGUUAUCUUCUAAGAUGUUUCAUGUAUUAGGGAAACAGCUUAAAGCAUUUAUAGAUGACAAAUUUGGUGAAGGAAGUACUGAACUUUGAGCAUAUGGUAAGGUUAUUAAUGGAAAGAAAGAGCUACAAGGUAUAAUGAAAAGGCAGAUGCUAACAGUGAGCAAUUUAAUAACAAAUGCAGAGAGCCAGACUCGCAGUGUAAUUCAAUUUAGGUCAGCAGUUGAGGAAACAUAUGAAGGAUUAAUUUGUUUCAUGCCGUAUAAUCUUGGUUUUGAUUCCUCCCACCAUCUUUUGCCUUCCAGGUGCUUUCCAUCACAGCUAGAGAUGGAAAACCACACUUGCUGUUGGUUCAUGCUGUAUUCAAAGCAUGUAACACACGAGGCAAAGAAAAAACAUGUUCUGCAAGUCACAUUUAGAUAAAAAUAUAGUGAGUUUCUCAGUUUAAUAGAAUUGUUUUUCCAAUAUAUACUGAGAAGGCAGACAAAGUUAUUUGAAAGCAACUAGUAGACUAGGAGAGCUUAUGUUCUUGGCAUUUCUUUGGACCUUCUUUCUUAAGCAAGGAGAUUCAUGGAUAGAUCAAACCUGAUGAGAGUGGGGAAAAGCAGAAAAGGAUGAUAUAGGAGAGUAACUCUACCUCUUUAACUCAGGAGAUUAUGAGGAGCAUAACUGGUAAUGUGGCACUAGCAACAUAUGAAAUAUUUGGUACUGUCUUGUGGACAGCAGAAACCAGAGCGCGCACAAAACUAUGUACUUGGUACAUAUAUUUUUUUGUUUACUUUGUUCCUCAUCCCUCCACCCCCCCCUCUCUUUUUUCUUCUAGAAGUUUGAUGUCAACUUUUGAAACGAUAUUAAAAUUGUCUGUUUUUCUGAUGUGUUUAUGAAAUAAAAAAAUAAUUCUCCCAUAUUG